rnacentral:rRNA from 1 species
GCAGCCGCGGUAAUACGGAAGGUCCGGGCGUUAUCCGGAUUUAUUGGGUUUAAAGGGAGCGUAGGCCGGAGGGUAAGCGUGUUGUGAAAUGCAGUUGCUCAACAUCUGCACUGCAGCGCGAACUGUUCUCCUUGAGUGCGCAGGAAGUAGGCGGAAUUCGUCGUGUAGCGGUGAAAUGCUUAGAUAUGACGAAGAACUCCGAUUGGGAAGCCAGCUUACUGUAGCGCCACUGACGCUGAUGCUCGAAAGUGCGGGUAUCGAACAGGAUUAGAUACCCC